rnacentral:rRNA from 1 species
CCUACGGGAGGCAGCAGUGAGGAAUAUUGGUCAAUGGGCGCUAGACUGAACCAGCCAAGUAGCGUGAAGGAUGAAUGCACAAUGGAUUGUAAACUUCUUUUAUCUGGGAAUAAAGUGCAGUAUGUAUACUGCUUUGCAUGUACCUUAUGAAUAAGGAUCGGCUAACUACGUGCCAGCAGCCGCGGUAAUACGUAGGUGGCAAGCGUUAUCCGGAUUUACUGGGUGUAAAGGGCGUGUAGGCGGGAAAGCAAGUCAGAUGUGAAAACCCUGGGCUCAACCUGUGGCCUGCAUUUGAAACUGGUUUUCUUGAGUACGGGAGAGGCAGACGGAAUGCCUGGUGUAGCGGUGAAAUGCGUAGAUAUUAGGAGGAACACCAGUGGCGAAGGCGGUCUGCUGGACAGCAACUGACGCUGAGGCGCGAAAGCGUGGGUAGCAAACAGGAUUAGAUACCCCAGUAGUC